GCGCAGAAUAAAUAUACCGCUGGAACGCGGAUUAAGCUGUUUACAUGUCCGAAUAAUUCGAAGGAUUUCGGUGUACGUUUAUUUCAAUUUUUACCUUACACCGAUUGAGAUAACCAGAGUAAGGUUUUUACAUGACCAUUUCCAUAGUCGGUGUAAACUGUUUAAUAUAGGAUUAUUACUAUGCAUGUAAACGUACAUCAAUGUUUUACAUGAAAACGUUGGUCUGAUCUCAGCUGUAAACGAAUAAGAUAGCUCAUCUUUCUUUUGAAUAAAUCGAAUACUUGCCCCACAGAAAACAGUCAAGUCGCAGUCAGUGAGAAUUCCAACAACGGAUGGAAUCAUGUGAGAAUGCUGCAGUCAGCUGAUCAAAACAACGAACGGACUCGCGGAAGCGAAAUAGCUAGGAUACACGUAACAAAGAACAAUGAUGUUUUAGCGGAUGUAUAAAUCUGAAGCAUCCGGUUAAGCGUUUCCACUCGGAGCAAAGCUCUCGUAGAAACUUGCGGAUAGGAGGGUCUGAGGACUGGCAGAGAGCGUUAGCUCCAGAGGCGGAGAAGGGUGGUGGUUGGAAGAGCGCCACGCCAGUUCUUGAUAAAGAAGAACUUCAAGGCUGCGUUUCAAAGUCAACAUACGGUCAAAACACUUAAAAGACACACCCUCGCCCACUUACCCUUAGGGGAAUCCUCGUCGCCAUUUUGGUGGGUGGUCCAAAUGAUUAGCCAAGCAAGGGACGUUUGCAACGUAAGCCCCUCAGCCCUCGUUUUUUGUCGGCUUUGCGAGUGUACAAUUAUGUUCACUCCGGGGCCUGAAACUCCCCAUAAUUCAAUUCGCGACGAUUGUACAAGUGGCGUUUACUACAGUCCCUGGUUCAAAUCCAGGCUGUAUCACAUCCAGCCGUGAUUGGGAGUCCCAUAGGGCGGCGCACAAUUGGCCCAGCGUCGUCUGGGUUUGGCCAGGGUAGGCCGUCAUUGUAAAUAAGAAUUUGUUCUUGACUGACUAGCCUAAUUAGAUCAAGGUUAAAUACAACUUUUUUAAAUUCCGGGAAAACUUAAAAACAACAUCAAUGGAGAAGUCAACAUACAAGUGGCAUAAAAGCACCCACAAGCUACCGGUGCCUGAAAACACAAUCAUUGCGGGAUGAACGAGUGACGAAUUACCAAGUAAUGUGCUGGUGCAGACUUGCUGUUAACCUCCAAGGCACACUCAUCAGAGCAGUAGCUGUUGGUUGGGAAACGAGAACAACGAGGCAUGAGGGUUUGGUGUUAAGGGACGAGUUGUCACAUUGUCGAAGGAGUGCCUCCCUCAGACCAUCCUGUGCAUGGACAUCCUGUGCCAGGGUGAUGUGGUUGUGGAGACUACAGCACAUCAAGCCUGUGGACGAACAAUUCAGUAACUCAUCAAAUAUGAUACAAUAUUGUGUAAAACAUUGAAUUUGUAGAUGUCUCAGUUUUGCCUGUCCGCUUUUCCACAUGUUUUAUACAUGAGACGUGACAUGCGGAACAUCAGGCUCACCCCACGAGAAGUAUGAUCAAUUGCCACCCUGAGCAAGGAGAAGUGAUGUCUCUCCCAUCCUGCAUUUAGCAGAAACUGAAGCUCCACAAAACAAAGGGGAAAACAGGUACUGACAGGUGGUGCAAAGAAGACGCUGAUCCAGCGCCCCCCCAAAAAACAUUGGAAUAAAACUUCAAGAAAUGAGGUGUGGCUUUGCGGAACAUCCUGCUCAUCCCAUGAGAAGCAGAGCAUGAUCAAUGCCACUUGCACCAAGGAGAUCUUCUGGAAUGGAUGUACUCUCACUCUGGGGGUAGAGGCAGGGAUGACUGGGUUCUUCAGCAAGUAAGACACGGGACUGACAGGAGGAUCAAUAGGAGUCUGCCAGAGGUCGUCACGCUGGAUGGUGAUGGAGGUUUUUGGUGGUCCACACAACGAAGAAGCAGGUGUCCCUUCAAGUGACGUGGAGUUGACCUUGGACCAAGUGCCAGUAAGGAUGGUCUUCACGGAGGCUGUAAGACCCUUUCUUCUGGAUAUAGAAAUCCUUCAACUUCACUGCCUCUUCAAUGGUAAGGUCCCCUCCAUUUGACCUCCACAAAUGCUGUGGUGCCCACCAGACCAUCUGGUGAGGCACCCAGAAUCCCAGACCCCGUGACCCAAGCCUUGACUCCUGCACAUCCAUCCCUGUAGCCAUUUUGAAUGUCUUGAUGCCCUCCUCUUUAUCUGUGCCCCACUUUACACACAACACCCCAUCCAACGACUGUGAACACCUUGAAAUGUAUGCAUUUUAAGAAAUGUGAUACGAAAAUAGUUUGAUUUGAUUGAUGACUACAGCUGUAGAAUAUUUAAUAAACUGUAAAGUGCAGUUUUUCCAUAAACUUUUAAUUGAUAACUUGGGAUUUUGUCACUUGACAUAUCAAUCAUACAGUGGGAAGGAUCCUAUAAAUCAAGACUGUGUGGAUGCAUGUACCUCUCCGAAUAAAUAAAUACAAUAAAGUGUGAUUUCUCAACAAAGUCAAUUCUGAAUGUCAAUUAGUUUUGGAUUAAUUCAACAUUCUAGAACUGAGUAAACACUAAUCGAAGUCUGGUAUCCGGGGUAAUCUGGUUAUUGAUUGAUUAAGUGUCUCUUUCCUUAUAGAAUGUUGACAGCUGUAUAGAACAAAUUGUAUUGCUAUGGUGCUCAAACUUAAUAGGUUGCAUGUUCAAAUCCAGCGAUGUAUUUUUGUUUUAAGCCUAUCCUCAACCUUAACCAUUGCAGUAAUGCCUAACCUUAAGAUUUCAGAGUUAAUGACUUGAACUUAACCUUAAACUCUUCGAAAUUUGACUUUUGAGAAACAUGGAUGAACGUCUACUUCUAACUUGAGACUGCGAGAGCUUGUUGGCUUUUUUUGCAUGUGACUACUCAUGUUUGUUAAUAACAAAUAAACAAAUAAAUGUGCACAAUGA